UACGUAGGGGGCAAGCGUUGUCCGGAUUUAUUGGGCGUAAAGAGCGUGUAGGCGGCCUGACAGGUCUGCUGUGAAAACUCGAGGCUCAACCUCGAGAUGUCGGCGGAAACCGUCUGGCUGGAGUCCGGAAGAGGAGAGUGGAAUUCCUGGUGUAGCGGUGAAAUGCGCAGAUAUCAGGAAGAACACCUAUGGCGAAGGCAGCUCUCUGGGACGGUACUGACGCUGAGACGCGAAAGCGUGGGGAGCGAGCAGG
rnacentral:rRNA from 1 species